rnacentral:rRNA from 1 species
UACGGAGGGUGCGAGCGUUGUCCGGAAUCACUGGGCGUAAAGGGCGCGUAGGCGGCGCGGAUAGUCGGCGGUGAAAGCCCGGGGCUCAACUCCGGAACUGCCUUUAAGACUGCAUCGCUAGAAUUGUGGAGAGGUAAGUGGAAUUCCGAGUGUAGAGGUGAAAUUCGUAGAUAUUCGGAAGAACACCAGUGGCGAAGGCGACUUACUGGACACAUAUUGACGCUGAGGUGCGAAAGCGUGGGGAGCAAACAGG